rnacentral:tRNA from 1 species
GGGUAUAGUUCAAUAGUAGAGUGCAUGCCUAGCAUUCACGAGGUCCUGGGUUCAAUCCCCAGUAUGUCCU